rnacentral:piRNA from 1 species
UACUAUGGACAAAGUGGGAGUGUUGCCUA